GACGAACCGUCCAACCGUUAUUCGGAAUUACUGGGCUUAAAGGGUGCGUAGGCGGCGCGGAAAGUUGGGUGUGAAAUCCCUCGGCUCAACCGAGGAACUGCGCCCAAAACUACCGUGCUCGAGGGAGAUAGAGGUGAGCGGAACUUAGGGUGGAGCGGUGAAAUGCGUUGAUAUCCUAAGGAACACCCGUGGCGAAAGCGGCUCACUGGGUCUCUUCUGACGCUGAGGCACGAAAGCUAGGGUAGCGAACGGG
rnacentral:rRNA from 1 species